UACGUAGGUGGCGAGCGUUGUCCGGAUUUACUGGGCGUAAAGCGCGCGUAGGUGGCUGGAACAGUCCCCCGUGAAAGGUUGCGGCCCAACCGCAACACGGCGGGAGAUACUCUCCGGCUUGAGGGCAGCAGAGGUCGGUGGAAUUCCCGGUGGAGUGGUGAAAUGCGUAGAUAUCGGGAGGAACACCAGAGGCGAAGGCGGCCGACUGGGCUGUCCCUGACACUGAGGCGCGAAAGCGUGGGGAGCGAACCGGAUUAGAUACCCGGGUAGUCCACGCCCUAAACGGUGGCAACUAGGUGUGGGGGGUAUCGACCCCCUCCGUGCCGCAGCUAACGCGUUAAGUUGCCCGCCUGGGAACUACGGCCGCAAGGUUA
rnacentral:rRNA from 1 species